UCAGAAUCUCCUUCAGAAAUUGCUCAGGUUGGUUGGUCUCUAUAACUAGUUGCUUCAAUGCCCAAUUUUGUUGCCUUUCAAACAGUUUGAAGAUUAUAUUUUCCAGUUCUUGGCGGUCUCUUCUAGUUCGUUUCAGAUCAGACGGCUUUGUGGGUGUCAUCUUCUUCUUCUCCUUUGAAACUGAUGAUGACAUUAGGCCGAGCAUACCAGGCAUCGGAUUCAUAUUUCCUCCAUGAUCAUCAGUAUACACCUGUACUUGUCUGUUUUUAAUCAUUGAUUUAGUAGUCCUUUCACGACAUAACUUGCCAUACUGCGCAAAAUUUUCACUAUGAGGCUCCAUGUCAAAUUUAUGAUCCACCUUACCUUCCAAUGAAAGUUUUCCAGUAGCCGAUUCCGUGAAUACGCACAUUGGGACAAAGUCUUUGUGCAUGUUGAGAGAGUAACUCUUGGGUGUAUUUCCAGGUUCAUUUUUUGCCAAUUCCAUCUUAAACGUGGGGGGUUGAUCCGGCUGGAGGAGAUCGAGCGUGAGCACGACCUUAGCGACGACGGGGGCUGGAAGGGCAGGAUCGGAAGCGGCGGCAGAGGAGAUCCACGACCGCGAUACCACCGGCGGACACUUCAUCAGCCACACCGCGCGGUCGGCGCGGGUCGUGUCGAGCACCGUCCGGUUGUCG
rnacentral:misc_RNA from 1 species